GUAGAAUAGCAUCAAAAGAUUCAUGUGUAUAUUUCCAUUUGCCUCAAAACUGGGCACAGAAUAAGUCUGGUUGAGCAAGAAAUCAUCACAGACCAGACUUUCCCUGUUUGAAGAAUGGAAGGCAAAUUCAGAACUCAACACUGUUGUUGGGCACUAAGUAGUUUCUGAAGUUUCACUGGAAGUUGUGGGUUAUCACCAGCUAGCUAACAAUAUGUGCACAGGCCUUGCUUAUAAAAUAGAGCUUUCUCCCGGUCAUACAUCAAUUGAUCCAUUCUAUGCCGAAACAAAAAAAAAGCUAAUUGAAGCUCUGCCUAUCGUAAAACAAAACAAAAAAAGCUAAUGAGGCUCUGCCGUUGGCUUUGGAUCUCAAUAUCUCUCCGUUCUGCCUGGCCUAGGAUUGUUUGCUUGUGAUAAAAAGUCUCGAGUAGAAGGACUUGUGCUAUUACAGUUCAACUGGGGGGAUUGAAAAC
rnacentral:lncRNA from 1 species